CCUACGGGGCGCAGCAGUGGGGAAUAUUGCACAAUGGGGGCAACCCUGAUGCAGCGACGCCGCGUGAAUGAAGAAGUAUUUCGGUAUGUAAAGUUCUAUCAGCAGGGAAGAAGAAAGACGGUACAUGACUAAGAAGCCCCGGCUAACUACGCGCCAGCAGCCGCGGUGAUACGGAGGGGGCAAGCGUUAUCCGGAUUUACUGGGUGUAAAGGGAGCGUAGACGGGUGUGCAAGUCUGAAGUGAAAGCCCAGGGCUCAACCCUGGGACUGCUUUGGAAAAUGUGGAGCUAGAGUGCUGGAGAGGUAAGUGGAAUGCCUAGUGUAGCGGUGAAAUGCGUAGAUAUUAGGAGGAACACCAGUGGCGAAGGCGGCUUACUGGACAGUAACUGACGUUGAGGCACGAAGGCCAGGGGAGCGAAAGGGAUUAGAUACCCCAGUAGUC
rnacentral:rRNA from 1 species